rnacentral:tRNA from 1 species
UCCCGGUUGGUGUAGAGGCAGCACAGCGGCCUUUGAAGCCGACAGCCCAGGUUCGACCCCUGGACCGGGAU